rnacentral:rRNA from 1 species
GGGGAAUAUUGGACAAUGGGGGAAACCCUGAUCCAGCCAUGCCGCGUGAGUGAUGAAGGCCCUAGGGUUGUAAAGCUCUUUUACCUGGGAAGAUAAUGACUGUACCAGGAGAAUAAGCCCCGGCUAACUUCGUGCCAGCAGCCGCGGUAAUACGAAGGGGGCUAGCGUUGUUCGGAAUCACUGGGCGUAAAGCGCACGUAGGCGGAUUUUUAAGUCAGGGGUGAAAUCCCGGGGCUCAACCUCGGAACUGCCUUUGAUACUGGAGAUCUUGAGUCCGGAAGAGGUGAGUGGAACUGCGAGUGUAGAGGUGAAAUUCGUAGAUAUUCGCAAGAACACCAGUGGCGAAGGCGGCUCACUGGUCCGGUACUGACGCUGAGGUGCGAAAGCGUGGGGAGCAAAC